rnacentral:rRNA from 1 species
CCUACGGGCGACAGCAGUGAGGAAUAUUGGUCAAUGGACGCAAGUCUGAACCAGCCAUGCCGCGUGCAGGAAGACGGCUCUAUGAGUUGUACACUGCUUUUGUACGAGAGUAAACGCAGAUACGCGUAUCUGUCUGAAAGUAUCGUACGAAUACGGAUCGGCUACCUCCGUGCCAGCAGCCGCGGUAAUACGGAGGAUUCGAGCGUUAUCCGGAUUUAUUGGGUUUAAAGGGUGCGUAGGCGGUCGGAUAAGUUAGAGGUGAAAUCCCGAGGCUCAACUUCGGAAUUGCCUCUGAUACUGUUCGGCUAGAGAGUAGUUGCGGUAGGCGGAAUGUAUGGUGUAGCGGUGAAAUGCUUAGAGAUCAUACAGAACACCGAUUGCGAAGGCAGCUUACCAAGCUACUUCUGACGUUGAGGCACGAAAGCGUGGGGAGCAAACAGGAUUAGAUACCCGAGUAGUC